CAAAAUGCUAACAGUGACAUGGACAAUGAAGUCCAGGCUGACAUGGUCUCAGAGGGACACGAAGAACUUGUUGAAAACUGGAGUAAAGGUGACUCUUGCUAUGCUUUAGCAAAGAGACUGUUGGCAUUUUGUCCUGCCCUAGAAAUCUGUGGAACUUUGAACUUGAGAGAGAUAAUUUAGAAUGUCUGGCAGAAGAAAUUUAUAAGCAGCAAAGCAUUUAAGAGGAAGCAGAGCAUAAAAGUUUGGAAGAUUUGCAGCUUGAUGAUGUGAUAGAAAAGAAAAACCCAUUUUCUGGGGAGAAAUUCAAGCCAGCUGCAUAAAUUUGCAUAAGUAAUGAGGAUCCCAAUGUUAAUUGCCAAGACAACGGGGAAAAUGCUUCUAGGCAUGUCAGAGACCUUCAUGACAGCCCCUCCCACCACAGACUCGGAGACCUAGGAGGGAAAAAUUGUUUCUUGGGCUGUGUCCAGAGUCCCCCUGAUCUGUGCAGCCUCAGGACAUGGUGCCCUGUGUCCCAACUGCUCCAGCCAUGGCUAAAAUGGGCCAAGGUACAGCUCAGGCCAUUGCCUCAGAGGGUGCAAGCCCCAAGCCUUGGCAUCUUCCAUGUGGUGUUAGGCCUGUUGGUACACAGAAGACAAGAAUUGAGGUUAGGGAACCUCCACCUAGAUUUCAGAGGAUGUAUGGGAAUGCCUGAAUGUCCAGGCAAAAGUCUGUUGCAGGGGCAGAGCCCUCAGGGUAAACCUCUGCUAGGGCAGUGUGGAAGGGAAAUGUGGGGUUGGAGCCCUCAGAGUCCCCACUGGGGCACUGCUUACUGGAGUUGUGAGAAAGGGCCACCAUUCUCCAGACCCCAGAAUUAUAGACCGACUGACAGCUUGCACUGUGAGUUUGGAAAAGCCAUGGACACUCAACACCAAACAUAAAAGCAGCCAGGAUGGGGACUGCACCUUGCAAAGCCACAGGUGUGGAGCUUCCCAAGGCUGUGGGAGCCCACUACUUGCAUCAGUGUGACCUGGAUGCGAGACAUGGAGACAAAGGAGAUUUUGGAACCGUAAGUUUUAAUGACUGCCUUAUUGGAUUUUGGACUUGUAUGGGACCUGUAGCCCAUCAGUUUGGGCCAAUUUCUCCCAUUUGGAAUGAGUGUAUUUACCCAAUGCCUGUAUCCCCAUUGUAUCUAGGAAGUAACUAACUUGCUUUCAAUUUUACAGGUGCAUAGGUGGAACGGACUUGCCUUUGUCACAGAUGAGACUUUGGACUGGGACUUUUGGGUUAAUGCUAGAAUGAGCUAAGACUUUGGGGAACUGUUGGAAAGACAUGAUUGUGUUUUGAAAUGUGAGGACAUGAAAUUUGGGAGGGGCCAGGGGCAGAAUGAUACUGUUUGGCUGUGUCCCCACCAAAAUUUUGUCUUGAAUUCUAGUUGCCAUAAUCUCCACAUGUUGUGGGAGGGACCUGAUGGGAGGUAAUUGAAUCACGGGGGUGGGGAGUUAUCCCCAUGCUAUUUUGAGUGAGUUCUCACAAGAUCUGAUGGCUUUAUAAGGGGCUUUCCCCCCUUUUCCCAGCACUACUCUCUCCUGCCUCCAUGUGAAGAAGGAAGUGUUUGCUUCUCCUUCCACCACGAUUGUACAUUUCCUGAGUCCUCCCCAGCCAUGUGGAACUGUGAGUCAAUUGAACCUCUUUAUAAAUUAAUCAGUCUCAGUUAUUUCUUCAUAGCAUCACAAGCAUAGUGUCUGAAAGGACAACCAGUUUGCAGCACAAGAGAUAUGUCCUGAGAGUUUCUGAAGUUAUUUAACUGGUUCAAUGAGAAUUUAAUCAAGGUCUGCUUUAUAUCAAAAUUUAUGAUUUUUAUUCAAUGCCAUACAUAGAAUUUGUUCACAGUUAUCAUCAAACACACUCAUGACCCCAGUUAUUCCAGCUGUUAAAUGGAGUGGAUCAAAAGGCUGAUUAAAUGUAACGGAUUCCAAAGAAUGGCUGGCACAUAGAUGGAUACCAUUCAAGCCCAAGGAAAACCAAUGCUUCUUUUCAUCUAUGGACUCAAGUCUCAGAAAGCAGAGAAGUGAGUGUACCAAGUGCAACAAACGUUUGAGCAUUGUUCUGCUGCCAAUAUUGAAGACAGCCACUGCUUUGAAGUGUGGGGAGGAGAGCUAGAGCAUAUUUGCCUGCCACAGUUAGUUUUGUGUUUCCAUGGAAUUUGAGCAAAACUGAUGCACUUGUCUCCCAGGAUUAAUCCAUACAAGUCACCUCUAAAAUUAUCUUUUCCCAUUCGUUGACUGAGCAAAAUGGACUUCAAGGACCUAAAGGAGGUUAAAUACCACAAGAUGGAGGAGCUUGAGUCUCUGAAUCAUUGUGUGUGAAGUCAUCUGCCAAUUACAUAAAUUGAAUUCUUGGGAAUUCUUGGUAUGAUAGGACAUGAAAGCUGAGAGAAAACCCUUCUACCUAGGAACUCCGGAGUUUCAACUACCAGAGACUGAAGGCAGGAGAGAAAAACUAAGACAAAUGACUUCAAAGCCUUUCUGAAAUGCCACAGAGGGUCAGGAUUACAAUCUGCCUAUUCUGAUUCUUCUACUAUGGGAAAAAAUCUUUUUCAGAAUUGAUGUAAAGCCUCUGUUAAUACUUUUCCUGUUAACAACCUAACUAUUCAACUGCUGAAUAAAAACCAUUAGGACAACUAAAGAAACUGAGAGAUUUUGGCAAGAAAUAGUCAUUCCAAUAUCAAUGACUACGGAGGAAAUGCAAUUACUUUUCUUUGCUUAAGUUUUCCAGGGCCUUUCUCUGUUGCCCAGGCUGGAGUGCAGUGAGGCAAUCUUGGCUCACCACAAUCUCUCCCUCCUGGAUUCAAGCAAUUCUCCUGCCUCAGCCUCCCGAGUAGCUGGGAUUACAGGCAUGCACCACUACACCCGGAUAAUUUUUGUAUUUUUAGUAGAGAUGGGGUUUUACCAUGUUGGCCAGGCUGGUCUUGAACUCCUGACCUCGUGAUCAGCCUGCCUCGGCCUCCUAAAGUGCUGGGAUUACAUGCAUGAGCCACUGUGCCCUGCCAACUUGUUAAAUUUUUAAUCAUUCUGCUCACCUUUUGCAACCUUACUGACUUUUGUGUCUACCUUAUCUAGCAGUGGCUGAAAUUUCCUUCUAUGAUUAUAGAUUUGUCUGUUAUUUCUUAUAGAUUUCUCAAUAUUGCUUGUAUUAUUAUUUUAAGUUAAUACCAUUAGGCAUAAAAAUUCAAAAUUGUUAUCGCU
rnacentral:lncRNA from 10 species